rnacentral:rRNA from 1 species
GUAGGUGGCAAGCGUUGUCCGGAAUUAUUGGGCGUAAAGCGCGCGCAGGCGGUUCUUUAAGUCUGAUGUGAAAGCCCACGGCUCAACCGUGGAGGGUCAUUGGAAACUGGAGAACUUGAGUACAGAAGAGGAAAGCGGAAUUCCACGUGUAGCGGUGAAAUGCGUAGAGAUGUGGAGGAACACCAGUGGCGAAGACGGCUUUCUGGUCUGUAACUGACGCUGAGGCGCGAAAGCGUGGGGGAGCAAACAGGAUUAGAUACCCUGGUAGUCCACGCCGUAAACGAUGAGUGCUAAGUGUUAGGGGGUUUCCGCCCCUUAGUGCUGCAGCUAACGCAUUAAGCACUCCGCCCUGGGAGUACGGCCGCAAGGCUG